CACAAUUUGGACUUUAUUUUCAAUUUGAGAACAAACAAAUUAAAAUUGUGUUUUAUUUUAUUUUCAAAUCUAAGAACAUUCACAAUUACUGUGCCAUGAUAUGUCUGUGAUAAGUGUAAGUCUGUGAUAUUUCAUGUUUAUCAACUAUUUGUUUGUAUUUUGUUGUUUUUACUGUAUGAAUCACAAUGCUAUAACUACAUGUAACACUACUCAAUCAUGGUUGUAGUUUUUUCAUGCACUGAAAUUUUCCCCUUUUAGUAUUGGUGCUAUCAGAAUUCAUUGCUCUUAUUUAUUUGUAUUUUGUAAUAUAAUAUAGAAAACAUAAAAUUAAAAUGUGUUUUGUUUAUAAUCAAAUGCAUUCAAUAAGUCUAACAACCG
rnacentral:lncRNA from 1 species